GUUGGGGCAGCAUUCAAAAGACUGCUAUUUUAGCAAUUAACCUUUUAAAUGAAAAGUUCAUUAUUUUCUCUCGGAACACACUUGUUCAAAUGUCUCCAUUUUUCUACAAAGCCACGGCCGUUUUGAAGACUUAAAAAAAAAAAGUUCAAUUACUUUCAAUCAAAUUCUCAUUACUUGAUGCAGUAGCUGGCUGUGAUCAUAGACAGCAACAUCUCUCCAUGCUGAGAUGGGCUACCUUGCAGCCUUGGUUCAUGUAUGCCACUUGGAGAAAUAAUAAUGGACAUCACACACUGCAUAGGAAAUGGCAAUAGUCCAGGCAUCCCUGAGAAAACAGCACUAAACUAUCCCUAGCCUUUCCAGCAGCAAAUGCAAAACCAAAUGGCUUCUGAUCAUGGACGUGAUACCACUGGCAGGGUAACAUCCAGAGGAAAGCAUGUAUGAGUUUGCCACC